rnacentral:rRNA from 1 species
GACGAAGGGGGCUAGCGUUGUUCGGAAUUACUGGGCGUAAAGCGCGUGUAGGCGGUUGCCAAAGUCGGGUGUGAAAGCCUUGAGCUCAACUCAAGAAUUGCACUCGAUACUUGGUGACUAGAGGACCGGAGAGGAUAGUGGAAUUCCCAGUGUAGUGGUGAAAUGCGCAGAUAUCAGGAAGAACACCUAUGGCGAAGGCAGCACUCUGGGACGGUACUGACGCUGAGACGCGAAAGCGUGGGGAGCGAACAGG